GUGGUCGCUGCGGCUGAAGUUCCGCAUGCAGAUACGGCACUGGAAGGGCUUGUGGCCCGUGUGGAUGCGGAUGUGCCGGGUGAGCUCGUCGGAGCGGGAGAAGCGGCGGUCGCAGCCCUCGGCGGGGCACGGGUCCACGGUCAGCAAGGGUGAAGCUUGGUGCUGCUGUUAGAGCUUGAGCCACAAAAGAAGCCAAAGGCACUCAGAUGUUUGUAGAUUUGGGCAGAGGAGUUUGAAGCAGGGACUGUGUCACUGCUGAUCUGAAUACCCUAGAUGGCUGGCACGCUGCUGUAGAACAACAUUUAUUGUUACAAGUUAUGUUGAACACCAGAAGAAUGUCAGGUUUUCUGCAGAACCUUUCUACCACUAUGAUUUUUAUUCUACCCUACACAUUUUGUUUGCUUGUUUGUUUUCUAAAAACACAAAACUCAUUCACCCAAUCAUGUGUCUCCACCAACAAGGAUGCUUCCUCAUCUCUCACCAGUACUAUCAAGGUUUUAUAAAUGGUUCUGCAAAUGUCCCAUUUGAUACUUCCUCAGGGACACUCCCAGGCUUACAGAUAAAUAUCCAUCCAAGGGUUGUGCUGGAUUGAUGUACAAAUCAUCUUCACACAAGUAAAUCAGAAUUCCCAGUUCAGUGUUUCAAUACUUUUAUCUCCAUUCAAUCAGUUGUCAUAAUUGAAUAAAUGUUCUCUGUGUAUUAUAUAAACUUUGUACUGCCAAUGCAUGUGCUCUCAGGCCAGGCUCCUUCAGUCAAGGCAGAAGGUGGAC